UACAGAGGUGGCAAGCGUUGUUCGGAAUUACUGGGCGUAAAGGGCGAGUAGGUGGCCAUCUAAGUCAGACGUGAAAUCCCCCGGCUUAACCUGGGAACUGCGUCUGAUACUGGACGGCUUGAGUAUGGGAGAGGAACGUAGAAUUCCAGGUGUAGCGGUGAAAUGCGUAGAUAUACGGAGGAACACCAGCGGCGAAGGCGGGUAGCUGGGCCAACACUGACGCUGAUGCGCGAAAGCUAGGGUAGCAAACGGG
rnacentral:rRNA from 1 species